CAGCAGCCACGGUAAUACAGAGGGUGCGAGCGUUAAUCGGAUUUACUGGGCGUAAAGCGUGCGUAGGCGGCUUCUUAAGUCGGAUGUGAAAUCCCUGAGCUUAACUUAGGAAUUGCAUUCGAUACUGGGAAGCUAGAGUAUGGGAGAGGAUGGUAGAAUUCCAGGUGUAGCGGUGAAAUGCGUAGAGAUCUGGAGGAAUACCGAUGGCGAAGGCAGCCAUCUGGCCUAAUACUGACGCUGAGGUACGAAAGCAUGGGGAGCAAACAGGAUUAGAUACCCCUGUAGCCCUGUCUCUUAUACA
rnacentral:rRNA from 1 species